rnacentral:rRNA from 1 species
AGGGAUAUUAUCGAGUUAUUCAACUCCCAAACCCUAUGUGAACUUACCACUUGUUGCUUCGGCGCGCGCUUCGGCGCCGCCGAGGACACUUAAACUCUUUGUUUUUAUAAGCAUUUCUGAGUGGCCGAAAGGCAAAAAUACAAAUGAAUCAAAACUUUCAACAACGGAUCUCUUGGGUUCUGGCAUCGAUGAAGAACGCAGCGAAAUGCGAUAAGUAAUGUGAAUUGCAGAAUUCAGUGAAUCAUCGAAUCUUUGAACGCACAUUGCGCCCGCCAGCAUUCUGGCGGGCAUGCCUGUUCGAGCGUCAUUUCAACCCUCGAGCCCGACUCUUUUGAGGACGGCUCGGCGUUGGGGGACGGCAGACUCCCCCCGGCAUCUCGCCGGGGACGCCGCCCCCGAAAUCUAGUGGCGGCCCUCCGAGGCGACCUCUGCGUAGUAACUUGUUCUCGCACCGGAAAGCUCAGAGCGGCCACGCCGUAAAACCCCAACUUUUUUCAGGUUGACCUCGAAUCAGGGUAGGACUACCCGCUGAACUUAAGCAUAUC